rnacentral:rRNA from 1 species
AACGAACGCUGGCGGCGCGUCUUAAACAUGCAAGUCGAACGAUCUGUAGCAAUACAGGGAGUGGCGGACGGGUGAGGAACACGUAGGAAUCUACCUUGAAGAGCGGGACAACUUUGGGAAACCGGGGCUAAUACCGCAUAGUACAGAGAUGUUAAAGGGCUAGCAAUAGUCGCUUCGAGAUGAGCCUGCGGUCUAUCAGCUUGUUGGUGAGGUAAUGGCUCACCAAGGCUACGACGGAUAGCCGGUCUGAGAGGAUGAUCGGCCACACUGGCACUGAGACACGGGCCAGACUCCUACGGGAGGCAGCAGUUAAGAAUCUUGCGCAAUGGGGGAAACCCUGACGCAGCGACGCCGCGUGAAGGAUGAAGGCUUUCGGGUUGUAAACUUCGGUAGACUGGGAAGAAGAAAUAACGUUCGUUGAGGGCGUAUAGUGACGGUACCAGUCUGAAGCCCCGGCUAAUUACGUGCCAGCAG